CAGUACCGCGGGAAUACGUAGGUCCCGAGCGUUGUCCGGAUUUAUUGGGCGUAAAGCGAGCGCAGGCGGUUUGAUAAGUCUGGAGUUAAAGGCUGUGGCUCAACCAUAGUUCGCUUUGGAGACUGUCAAACUUGAGUGCAGAAGGGGAGAGUGGAAUUCCAUGUGUAGCGGUGAAAUGCGUAGAUAUAUGGAGGAACACCGGUGGCGAAAGCGGCUCUCUGGUCUGUAACUGACGCUGAGGCUCGAAAGCGUGGGGAGCGAACAGGAUUAGAUACCCCGGUAGUCCCUGUCUCUUAUACAC
rnacentral:rRNA from 1 species